rfam:Colletotrichum gloeosporioides Cg-14 contig03123, whole genome shotgun sequence.
GUCAAGGUGCCAGAGUGGUUAAUGGGCUGCCCUGCUAUCGGUUCUUCUGAUAUCAGCAUAGGCAGUGGCUUCGGUCGCGCAGGUUCGAAUCCUGUCCUUGACG